ACUGGACCUGCAGUGCAAAAUAAAGAUAAGACUUUAAGGGCAAAGAGACAAAAGAUGGCGCGUUUUAUAAAUUAAAAAAUUGAACCUAUUAAUUUUAACUAAAAGAAAACAUGUACCUCUGCACCUAUUUAUAAGGAUUGUUACUGAAGUCUACACAAAAGUCUAGUGCACGGUCCUACCCGCAGCCACAAAUCGCACGUCGGAAACAUCAGCCUCCAACUUGCAGGCGGCUGGUGAUCGCUGAGUCAAGCCUGCAAGUGCCGGGAAGGUUCUGCUGACACAGGAGGGCGGAGCUGAACGCGCAGUGGGGCGCGGCCUGGGCAGGGGGGCGGCUCAGCUCCACCGGGCUGUUGCGGCCCCAGGGGAUGCUGCCCGGCCCCCACCGUGCACCCCGACACCGCACCCUGCGCACCCGCGUUAACGGUGCCACUCAUCUAAAAGGCCAGCUAGCUAUCUGGCGUGUCAGGAACACCUCGAGCGGCUGCAAAAAUUGCAGUGAAAAAUGACAAUCCUGCGACAGGUGGAGGGAAAACACACUAAAGAAGCCUUGAUGAGGUCCGGACACUUGCAGCGGCCGGCUCGGGUAGGAAAAGGCAAGCUCAGGUGGGCGAUUGCUGUUCAUCACGUUAAAAUCCAGGAUGGACAGAGGAGGAGGAACGGGAGACAGAGGGCAGCGAGUGGCCGAGCAUGCCGAUCUUAGUUCCCUGACCAGGGAUGGAACUUGUGCCCCCUGCAAUGGAAGCGCGGAGUCUUAACUACUGGACCGCCAGGGAAGUCCUAGAACUCUGACUUUUUAAAGACAUAGAUAUCACCAGCUUUUGUAGUUAGAACACGGGUGGUUUGGAGAGGGACCUCACAGGCUUCUGAGAUGCAUCAUCUCCAGAUUGAAGAACUAUGUCCAUCAAUUGUUUUUGUGUCUGAGACACUUUUUAUACUUGGUUGCAGGUCAGUUUCUCUAUAAAUACUCACUUGGAGGAGAAGACUCUGUAAUAAAGGACAAGUGCAUUAGUUGUUCAAUUUAAUAAAAGAGACUAAUUUUAAAAGAAUUACUCUUAAUAAUUCCUUAAAAAUCAGUAAAAGUUUGUAUGACUUAAAAUGGCAUCAUGAUGACAAUGGAGAGAGGGUAUCAUUAAGACACUGGUCAGGCCAGUGUGGUGCCCACUGGCCUGGAAGAUGGG